GCCUUCCAGACACUGGGCAGCCCUUCCACUAUCAAAGAGGUGGGGCUUGGCUGUCAGCCCCCGACCUCCAGUUUAUCGCCUCCCCAAAAACAGCUCUGAUUGAAUCCUCCCUGGCCCCAGCAAGGAAGGACACUGUGGGGCAAAGCUACCUUACUAGAAUUACCACAUUCCCUUCUUCCACGGACGGGGCAACUCUUACCAGAAAGGGCAUCCUGCUGCCACCCUCAGACCCCUCCCACAAAACCCUGGAGAAGAGCCCCCUGGGAUAACGCUGCUAAGGCCACUUCCAAAUGAAGUCAGACCCUGGAGGGUCCCUCUGACAUCAGGAUCCCUCAGAUACAUGGACACCUCAAAUCUUAACUGGGAAAAGUAUAAACCUGCCAAACUGUGAAUAGUAGCUAUAUUUCCAGGAAAUUCUCAUCCAUGAGGCUUAAGACGUUGUCCAGAAAUUUCUCAAAUUCCCCACAGAAGCCACACCUCGCGGCUUGCAGGAUCUUAGUUCCCCAACGAGGGACUGAACCCGAGCCCACGGCAGUGAAAGCACUGAGUCCUAACCACUGGGCCAGGGAAUUCCCAACAGUGAGUUUCUGAAAUGUAUCCUUGCUGAUUCAUAUAGUUUGAAACAUUCUUUUUUCACAACUGUAUAGUGUGCCAUUGUAUACACAUGUAUGACAAUUUUUGAACUCCUUUCUUCUGUUGUUGAGGGUCAUAGGGUAUUCACAUCUUCAGCUUUACCGGAUGUUGCCAAAUUGCUUUCCAAAAUGAUUGUACCAGUAGUGUUUGUUUUAUUGUGAUCAAAUAUACGUAAAAUUUGCCAUUUUAAAUAUUCAAAGUGUGCAGUUCAGUGGCAUUAACUAUAUUCACAUUGCAUGUGCCAUCCAUGUCCAGAACUGAAAGUCUGUACCCAUUCAGCAGUAAUUCCUGUUUCCCCCUUCCUCUAGCCUCUCGUAACCAUCAUUCUCUUUUCCGUCUCUGAGUUUGACUACUCUAGGGACGUCACAUAAGUGGAGUCACACAAUACUUGUCCUUUGGUGACUAACUUAUUUCACAUAAUGUCUUCAAGGUUCAUCCACGUUGUAGCAUGUGUCAGCAUUUCAUUCCUUUUAAAGGAUGAAUAAUAUUCCAAGGGAAAGCCAGCUGUCAUAUCAGGAGGACAUUCAAGAAGUACACAUGAUAAACUGAGCGCUACCAGCAACCAUCCCCAGUCGAGCCUCAGAGGACAGCAGCCUCAUGAGAGACCCUGAGCCAGAAUCACCCAGCUAAGCUGCUCCCGGGUUCCUGACCCUCAGAAACUAUUUGUGAGAUAACAAAUGUUUGUUGGUGGGGACUUCCCUGGUGGCGCAGUGGUUAAGAAUCCGCCUGCCAAUGCAGGGGACAUGGGUUCGAGCCCUGGUCUGGGAAGAUCCCACAUGCUGCGGAACAACUAAGUCCGUGUGCCACAACUAUUGAGCCUGCGCUCUAGAGCCUGCGAGCCACAACUACUGAGCUCACGUGCCACAACUACUGAGCCCGCGCACCUAGAGUCUGUGCUCCGCAACAAGAGAAGCCACCUCAGUGAGAAGCCUGCGCAGCGCAACAAAGAGUAGCCCCCGCUUGCCGCAACUAGAGAAAAGCCUGCGUGCAGCAAAGACCCGACUCAGCCCAAAAUAAAUAAAUUAAUUAAUUAAUUUAAAAAAACAAAUGUUUGUUGUUAAGCUGCUAAGUUUGGGUGUAAUUUGUUCUGCAGCAAGAGAUAACUAAUGCAGCACAUAUAGAGUGGUCAUAAGAGAGAAGGAUGAAUAAGGGACCAUUACUAUGAUAACUUAAAUGACCAACACUAAGAGAAUAGAUAAGUCUGGGUGGUAAAUCUGACCAAUGGUAUAUUUAACAGCCAUUCAAAUAAGAAGCAGAAAGACUAUGAAGCAACAUGGAAAAACCAAUAGGAGUUAAUAUUAAGGUAC